rnacentral:lncRNA from 1 species
AAGAAUGCGUGUAAUCCCUAGUUACUCAGAACGAGCCUGUGUCACAAAGAGGAAAAGCAGCCUAAUUUAAAUGUGAAUGAGGACUUCCGUAAAUGCUUGGAAGUUAUUGUGGAUUCUCUAUGGGUUUUGAGCACAUUUGAAGGCUACCAAAUGGGAUAAACAACUGAUGGGCCUGUAUGAGACUGUGAACUAGCCGGGUCAGCUCAACUCAGACACAAUGGAGGUGAAUUACAACACAGACAGGCUGGGAGCAACCACCGAGAGCUGGGAAAGGUUAUAUUAAAACCUCUCAGAUCUGAAUAGAGGGAUUGCUUCUGGUCAUAAAAAGAGGCUGCACAUUGUGCUGUCUCUUGUGCUGAGAGCUAACUGCAGGAAUAACCGUUGCUAUGAAGCUGUGCACCUGCUGGUUUCACCAUCUCUCCACUGCUGAACUCAACUCUGCUGUUAGAGGUUGGUGAGUAUAUUCUUUACCAAGUGAUCAUUUUAAGUGUGUCUGC